rnacentral:lncRNA from 10 species
CCUUGUUUACUGCUUUAUCCUCAGUCUCUAGCAGAACCCAGCAUAAAGCAAGCACUUGAAAUGUGCUUGCUGAAUCAGUAAAUGCAGGUUAUGCUUCACGGCAGAAGUAGAGAGUGGUGAACUUUUUUUUUUUUUUUUUUUUUUUUUAACCACUCAGCUGUUUAGAUUUGACUUCUCCUUUUGGAUUUCUGGUCUCAGAUAACGUACAAAAACAUCUCUGAUCACUUGACUUGGGUGUUGCAUGCUGUCUUUCGUUGGCAGAGGUUCUGGAUUUUCGUCUAUGGUUUCCUCUGUAGUUGUUAUGAUACAGAAAUAUAUUCAUUGCUUCAGAGCUGUAGUAGUGAGACUGUUCAUCACAGGUCUCCGUAGGUUUGAGUUCUGGCUACUAAAUAGCCACGGAGUCUUGUAAAUAGAUCUUUCUUCCCUCCAUUCUGCUCCCCUUCUUCUCUUCCUGCCUCCCUCUCUUCCCAUGACACAUGGCAGGUGUUAAAAAGGUAUUUGAUUAUUUUGAUUAAAUGAUGUGAUAUUGACCUUCAUCUACUAAGAAAGAGUAUCUUGCUGGCACCUGUUGAUAACUUGUAGUUAUUGAACAUGAGUGGCUAACCUGGUUCUGAUUCUUAUCUCUCAACUCAGUUCAUCGUAUUGUUAGGAUCUGAAAUCUC